rnacentral:lncRNA from 1 species
AAAUAGCAGUGAGAUGUCUCCUUGGAUCAAGCAGCUAUUACCCCGCUAAUUAGAAAUUAUAUCCCUGUAUGUUAUGUUUUUGCAAGUAUUUAUCCAAUUGCAGUUUAAACAUCUAUAUAGACUCUGACAAAACCACCUCUUCAGGCCAAAAAUUCCAUAUCCUUAUUGCUCUUACUGUAAAAAAACAUUUUCUUUGCCUUAGAUGAAAUCUCCUUUC